UACGAAGGGGGCUAGCGUUGUUCGGAAUUACUGGGCGUAAAGCGCACGUAGGCGGGUCGUUAAGUCAGGGGUGAAAUCCCGGAGCUCAACUCCGGAACUGCCUUUGAUACUGGCGAUCUUGAGAUCGGAAGAGGUGAGUGGAAUUCCCAGUGUAGAGGUGAAAUUCGUAGAUAUUGGGAAGAACACCAGUGGCGAAGGCGGCUCACUGGUCCGAUACUGACGCUGAGGCGCGAAAGCGUGGGGAGCGAACCGG
rnacentral:rRNA from 1 species